ACAAACUCACCUCAGACAUAUGGCCAUAUUGGCUUCUUUGAUAAAAACUUACCAAAACCAGGUGGGGACUUUUUGGUUUGUUUACAGAUUAAAGAAAGCCACUUCAAAAUCCUACGCAUUUGUCAUCCGGAUGUUAAAUUGUCUGUCUUCACAGAAUGCAGACACCAAUAUUGGAAGGAUCAGCAAGUUUCUUUGCUUUUUUCUUGGGGUUUGGUGACGUCGGCUCCAGGUGCUGAAGGAACCGGGGGUGCCUCAGCUGGCUCGUCGGGCUACCAUGCCUUAGCUGGCUCUAAAGGUUUUCUUGCCUCAAUUGGUUCAACAGGCUCCCAUCCCAAGUCAUGCCUCAGCUGGCUAGUCGGGCUCCCACGCCUCAGCCGGCUCCCACGCCCCAGCCGGCUCGUCCGGCCCCCAUGCCUCAGCUGGCCCUUCAGGCUCUCCCAAGUGGGAUGCCGGGUGGCGCCCCUAGAGGGACUGUACUGUAACGCCUGCUCCCGCUCCCCCUCUCUGGCACUCGAGUGCGCCAUGCGGCCCAUCAUUACACAGACCUGUCACCAUCAUUACGCGCAUCAGCGCUUCAUGGGACUCACCUGGACUCUAUUACUUUAUUGAUUGCCUCCCCUAUAUGUCACUUCCUCAGUUUCUUCCCCGUGUCUGCAUUAAAGUCGUUUUGUUCUCCCUGUCCAGAUGCUGGUUUUGUUUCGUUAUAUGUCCGUUUAUCCAUUAAAUCUUCACUCCCUGUACUUGCUUCUCGUCUCCCAGCGUCUGUCCUCACACCUUCACCUAUUUAACAGUACCCAACUUCUUUUCUACUCAGCUUAAGACUACAUGUAGAUCAGCCAAAAGGCAGGGAUCCACUUUCUCCACAAACUUCACUCCCAUUGUGCCCGAAUCAUCCUUUGCAUGUCCAUCGGGGUGAGGCUCGGACUCAGGGGUCUUCACUAUACCUGCCAUCCCAGGUAAUUCAUCCCCACUGUAGUCAGGUAACAUUUCUGUGCCAUCAGAGACAGUGGAAUACGGUUUGUACUUGGUACCAUUCUUCCUCAUCACACAUCUUCACACUGUACUUGGCCCUUCUUCCUCGCUGUCCAUAACCACGUCUAUCUGUUCACCUCACUUUUGCUGUGUCUUCAUCCAUUGUAUUGCUUGCAGAGCACGCAAUGAUGGCAUUUCUCCAAAACCCAACUUCUGUUCCUUGGCCCAAUUAACAAGUCUGGUUAUCUCUGGCGCGCCCGCCACCUGUCGACCAUUGCUGUAAUUAAUGCUGGUGUGUGCGAGAAACGUUCCCCUAGGAUUCGUGAAGUGGCAGGUAGGAGGUUGCAUAAAAAUACUUAAAUAUUUUCAUGAAAUAUAAAAUAUUCCAAUUCAAGAGGCGAGCACCCUUACUGAAUUGUCGAUAUUU
rnacentral:lncRNA from 13 species